GCGAGAGUGGUGAAAUUGGCAGACACGCCAGACUUAGGAUCUGGUGCCUUUAGGCGUAUGGGUUCAAGUCCCUUCUCUCGCA
rnacentral:tRNA from 1 species